rnacentral:rRNA from 1 species
GAUGAACGCUGGCGGCGUGCCUAAUACAUGCAAGUCGAGCGAACAGAUAAGGAGCUUGCUCCUUUGACGUUAGCGGCGGACGGGUGAGUAACACGUGGGUAACCUACCUAUAAGACUGGGAUAACUUCGGGAAACCGGAGCCAAUACCGGAUAAUAUUUCGAACCGCAUGGUUCGAUAUUGGAAGAUGGUUUUGCUAUCUCUUAUAGAUGGACCCGCGCCGUAUUAGCUAGUUGGUAAUGUAACGGCUUACCAAGGCGACGAUACGUAGCCGACCUGAGAGGGUGAUCGGCCACACUGGAACGGAGACACGGUCCAGACUGCUAGGGGAAGCAGCAGGAGGGAAUCGGCCGCAAGGGGCGAAAGCCUGACGGAGCAACGCCGAGUGAGUGAUGAAGGUCGUCGGAUCGGAAAACUCUGUUAUUAGGGAAGAACAUACGUGUAGGUAACUGUGCACGUCUUGACGGUAACUAAUCAGAGAGCCGCGGCUAAAUACGUG